GAAACAUUGAAACACAAUAGUUACAAGAUUAGUUUUACAAUUUUAUGGAUACGAAAAUGAUAACUGGAAUAAUUUAAAAAGAUUGUUUAUGAAGUAUCCGAAUCUCAAACAUCUUUCGUUGAGGUGCCGUCAGGUUAUAACAGAUUCACAUAUCGAGCAAUUGGUUCGUAUUUUACCCAAUUUAGUGCUAUUGGAUGUUAGUGAAUGUCAGGAAGUCACUCAAAGAGCUGCUGAUUAUGUUAAAGAUUAUUGUAAAAGAUAUGGACGGAAAAUCAAAUUUUACUUCGAUGGAAAUAAACAUGAAAUCGAUUCAGAUUGGCCGCAGUUAUCUAUUAAACACGAAGCAAUUAGUCGAGGCUUGGAUUUCAUGAAACAUUGCUUUCGCAAAAAUUUUUUCGCUCUUUCACAUUUUUUGAUUCCAAUUGAUUAUUGAAAAGUACUUAUAAAUAUAUUUGUUGUUCUUUACCUCGAAAGCUUAUUCUAAGAGUUUCAACUUAAUCUCUACUAUUCAUCCACUUUAUGUAAUCCAUCCAAUUAAGCGUUUGCAAUUCAGCAUUUUGACUGUAAAAUUGAAAGUUUACUCGAACAGAGGAAAUUAUUCAAAGGAAAAUACAAAUUUUAUUUGAAAA